GGCGAAAGCCUGAUGCAGCGACGCCGCGUGAGGGAUGACGGCCUUCGGGUUGUAAACCUCUUUCAGCAGGGAAGAAGCGAAAGUGACGGUACCUGCAGAAGAAGCGCCGGCUAACUACGUGCCAGCAGCCGCGGUAAUACGUAGGGCGCAAGCGUUGUCCGGAAUUAUUGGGCGUAAAGAGCUCGUAGGCGGCUUGUCGCGUCGGUUGUGAAAGCCCGGGGCUUAACCCCGGGUCUGCAGUCGAUACGGGCAGGCUAGAGUUCGGUAGGGGAGAUCGGAAUUCCUGGUGUAGCGGUGAAAUGCGCAGAUAUCAGGAGGAACACCGGUGGCGAAGGCGGAUCUCUGGGCCGAUACUGACGCUGAGGAGCGAAAGCGUGGGGAGCGAACAGGAUUAGAUACCCUGGUAGUCCACGCCGUAAACGGUGGGCACUAGGUGUGGGCAACAUUCCACGUUGUCCGUGCCGCAGCUAACGCAUUAAGUGCCCCGCCUGGGGAGUACGGCCGCAAGGCUAAAACUCAAAGGAAUUG
rnacentral:rRNA from 1 species